UACGGGGGGAGCAAGCGUUGUUCGGAUUUACUGGGCGUAAAGGGCGCGUAGGCGGCGCAACAAGUCACUUGUGAAAUCUCCGGGCUUAACCCGGAGCGGUCAAGUGAUACUGUCGUGCUAGAGUGCGGGAAGGGGCUACUGGAAUUCUCGGUGUAGCGGUGAAAAUGCGUAGAUAUCGAGAGGGAACACCCUGCGGCGAAGGCGGGUUGCUGGGCCGACACUGACGC
rnacentral:rRNA from 1 species